UCAGCUGCUGCUCACAGAUUUCAGCUGUGCCUUCUGAAGAGAUGACCAGAAAGCUUCCUAGACCUCUGGGCUCUCUACGAAACCCACCUUCUCCACCUCCUCCUUCCCCUCUUCCUCCCGUCUCCUUUCAUUUCCUGCCUUUGCCAGCAACCACCCCUAGACCUGCUGCAGAGACCAAUUCCCUCUUUGUUUACCAACCUACCCAUUUCCCUUCUAUAAGGCAUGCUUCCUUCUUCCCCACCUUAAGGGUCCACAUGCCCUCCUCUUCCUCUAUUGACAGACUUCCCACUAAGUGCCCUGAUCUUGUUUUUUUCCCUUCCCCCAACUCCUCUAACUUUCCCCUAACUCCUCCCAAUAGCCCUACCAAAGCCGUGCAUUUUAUCUCACGACCACAAAAAAGGCAGCUACUGACUGCUAGAUUGGGCCAUCAUUGAGAAAUACCCCAGUCAGUCGGAGAGAAACCAGUGUCCUUAAAGGCUACUUCGCAGAGUCACCCAGGAAGCUUGCUCUUUCACAGGACGGCUUGGAAAAGUUUUAUGUGGUGACUGAAUCUCCUUCACUGUGCUUGUUCUUCAGGACCAAGGAUGAAAUGUCCCAGGAGACACAGACUAUAAGUGAAGAAAGUGGUUGGGAAUUGGAGCCUUGAUUCUCCUCUUUCCAUGACCAAGAUGACGUCAUUUGGCAAAAAUCUGCACAAGCUGUCUCCAACUAUAUUUCAACUGAGACCGACUGAGGAAUUUCAUGCAAGAAUUUCAAGGCAAGAGCUGGAGUUUCCAAGAGGAAGUGUCACUGAUAAGGAAGGGCUUAUAAAAUGGUUUAUCUAGGUACUCAGUUGAUGUCCAAGUGGCCGACAAGCUGUCGCUGACGAUAGGAACAUCCUAGAGGGACAACUGCCAAUAAACUACAAAGAAGACAGAACUGUUUGUCCAACUGGAAUGAGUUACUGUCUUAAGCUGACCGAGUUUCUGAUGAGACAGGACAAGAGGCCCAGUCUACCCGGUAUCUAUACAGUCCAGGAUUGCUCUGUCUAUGACAGCUCCGUUCUCAGUGAGUUCACCUUGCUGAAAGGACAGAACAUUGUAUUUCUAUUCACCAGUGAUGAGGAUAAUGACGACAGCCUCUGGAGAAAUGCACUCAACCAUGUUAGGGUACUGACUCUUUCCCAUUCUCCCAGUUCCUGGUUUGGAGUCCUCAUUAAGAACACAAUUGUUGCUUGCUCUGCAGCUGGGGUCCUAAUGUCUCUGAUCAUUAGGGGGGGAGGGGGUUGAAUAGAUGCAGAACCAAAUAACACAGGCUCAGGGAGAUUGUAAGCAAUCUUGCUUAUUAAACAAAGGACUGAGGUA